AGGCUUGGUAUUUCUGCUAAAGUAGGUAUUUCGCGCUGUCAAAAUCUGCGCGCGCAAUUCUUCGCCGAAGACAGCGCGCCAAAGAGCUCUCGCGGCUACACAGUAUAGAAAUAUGCAGUUUAGAAAUACGCAGUUGGUUAGGUUAGGUUGACUUCCUUCCGUUCAAGCGUCACACUCACAGCACUUUCUAAUACAAAUCAUAUCCAAGUGAUACAAAUUAAAACAACUUUCAAAAUUUUUGGGAAUAUUAUUUUAGAAUCGAAUAAAUAUAGAAUAUAACUGCCAAAGUAAACACGGUUCAAAGAGGCGUGGCGUCACCCGACCUUCCGGAAGUUCCGCGCCGGCUAAAAGAAUUUCAAGAUUACGUCACCCGACCUAUCGGUAGAUCCUCGGGAGCUUGAGCGAUUGGAAAAACAUUUUAUGAUCAGUUACUCGUAGUAGCGAUUAUUUAGAGCUUGGAUAAUAAAUUAUAGUUGUUGCAAUUCACAAAGCUUUGCAUGUGGUUAAUUACAUUAAUCAGUACACGCAUCAAUUUUGUUCAGUCUUUUUGUUUAUUAAUAAAUAAAAAUAUCAUACUAAAAUUGCAUA